rnacentral:rRNA from 1 species
CAGUAGCCGCGGUAAUACGUAGGUCCCGAGCGUUGUCCGGAUUUAUUGGGCGUAAAGCGAGCGCAGGCGGUUAGAUAAGUCUGAAGUUAAAGGCUGUGGCUUAACCAUAGUACGCUUUGGAAACUGUUUAACUUGAGUGCAAGAGGGGAGAGUGGAAUUCCAUGUGUAGCGGUGAAAUGCGUAGAUAUAUGGAGGAACACCGGUGGCGAAAGCGGCUCUCUGGCUUGUAACUGACGCUGAGGCUCGAAAGCCAGGGGAGUGAACGGGAUUAGAUACCCCAGUAGUCCCUGUCUCUUAUACC